rnacentral:rRNA from 1 species
CCAAUAGCGUACAUUAAAGUUGUUGCAGUUAAAAAGCUCGUAGUUGAAUUUCGGGAUCAAUUUGUUGGUCGUGCAAAUUGCACGUACUGGUUCAUUGGUUCCUACCUUCUGACGAACCAUGAUGCCAUUAAUUUGGUGUUAUGGGGAAUCAGGACUGUUACUUUGAAAAAAUUAGAGUGUUUAAAGCAGGCUCACGCUUGAAUACAUUAGCAUGGAGUAAUGAAAUAGGACGUUUGAUUCUAUUUUGUUGGUUUCUAGGAUCGACGUAAUGAUUAAUAGGGAUAGUUGGGGGCAUUAGUAUUCAAUUGUCAGAGGUGAAAUUCUUAGAUUUAUUGAAGACUAACUACUGCGAAAGCAUUUGCCAAGGAUGUUUUCAUUAAUCAAGAACGAAAGUUAGGGGAUCGAAGACGAUCAGAUACCGUCGUAGUCUUAACCAUAAACUAUGCCGACUAGGGAUCGGAUGAUGUUAAUUUUUUAAUGACUCAUUCGGCGCCUUACG